rnacentral:lncRNA from 1 species
GAACCGAUAUCGCGAUACUGCACUCCAGCCUGGGCGACAGAGCGAGACUCCCUCUCAAAAAAAAAAAAAAAAAAAACUGUUAGAAUGCCUAUUAGCUGCAUGAGGGGAAACAGUAACCAGAAAGUAGAGGACUGGACAACAUCUGGACCAAGGGAUCAAAAUUAAUAUCAAUAAUUCCUAGAAUCAGGCGUUUCUUUAAGAGGCCCUACUUCCUCUAAUUGGAUAAUUCUAGAAACUGGUAUUUGAAUCUGAGGUUUAACUAAAGAGAAUACCUUCUACUGAUGUAACAGCAAUGGUAAUUGGUAUAAAGGCAAAAGCAGGUGCAAAGGAGAAAUCACAACAAAGGCCACUUAUUGAAAUAAAACCUAUUAAAAAUGUA